rfam:Myotis brandtii contig167768, whole genome shotgun sequence.
GGCGGUUCUCUGAUGCACCCCAGAAACAGGCUCCCACCUCUCUGGUUCUGGGUGCAUCACCCAGGAACCACA